CCUACGGGUGGCAGCAGUGAGGAAUAUUGGUCAAUGGACGAGAGUCUGAACCAGCCAAGUAGCGUGAAGGAUGACUGCCCUAUGGGUUGUAAACUUCUUUUAUAUGGGAAUAAAAUGUUCCACGUGUGGGAUUUUGUAUGUACCAUAUGAAUAAGAAUCGGCUAACUCCGUGCCAGCAGCCGCGGUAAUACGGAGGAUCCGAGCGUUAUACGGAUUUAUUGGGUUUAAAGGGAGCGUAGGUGGAUUGUUAAGUCAGUUGUGAAAGUUUGCGGCUCAACCGUAAAAUUGCAGUUGAAACUGGCAGUCUUGAGUACAGUAGAGGUGAGCGGAAUUCGUGGUGUAGCGGUGAAAUGCUUAGAUAUCACGAAGAACUCCGAUUGCGAAGGCAGUUCACUGGACUGCAACUGACACUGAGGCUCGAAAGUGUGGGUAUCAAACAGGAUUAGAUACCCUGGUAGUC
rnacentral:rRNA from 1 species